rnacentral:pre_miRNA from 1 species
UGAAGGAAAAGACUAUUCAUGAGGUGGGCUAAUAAGAUGGAAGGAAGCCGUCUAGCAUCACCCAUGGGUUAAUGUUGCCUUUUCUUCA